GACGAACGCUGGCGGCGUGCUUAACACAUGCAAGUCGAACGGAAAGGCCCUGCUUUUGUGGGGUGCUCGAGUGGCGAACGGGUGAGUAACACGUGAGUAACCUGCCCUUGACUUUGGGAUAACUUCAGGAAACUGGGGCUAAUACCGGAUAGGAGCCCCCGCUGCAUGGUGGGGGUUGGAAAGUUUCGGCGGUUGGGGAUGGACUCGCGGCUUAUCAGCUUGUUGGUGGGGGAGUGGCUUACCAAGGCUUUGACGGGUAGCCGGCCUGAGAGGGUGACCGGCCACAUUGGGACUGAGUUACGGCCCAGACUCCUACGGGAGGCAGCGGUGGGGAAUAUGGCACAAUGGGCGGAAGCCUGAUGCAGCAACGCCGGGGGCGGGAUAACGGCCUUCGGGUUGUAAACCGCUUUCGCCUGUGACGAGGCGUGAGUGACGGUAAUGGGUAAAGAAGCACCGGCUAACUACGUG
rnacentral:rRNA from 1 species